rnacentral:rRNA from 1 species
GAUGAACGCUAGCGGCAGGCCUAACACAUGCAAGCCGAGGGGUAGAGGCUUUCGGGUCUUGAGACCGGCGCACGGGUGCGUAACGCGUAUGCAAUCUGCCUUGUACUGAGGGAUAGCCCAGAGAAAUUUGGAUUAACACCUCAUAGUAUUUUAGUGUGGCAUCACAUUAUUAUUAAAGGUUACGGUACAAGAUGAGCAUGCGUCCCAUUAGCUAGUUGGUAUGGUAACGGCAUACCAAGGCUACGAUGGGUAGGGGUCCUGAGAGGGAGAUCCCCCACACUGGUACUGAGACACGGACCAGACUCCUACGGGAGGCAGCAGUGAGGAAUAUUGGUCAAUGGUCGCAAGACUGAACCAGCCAUGCCGCGUGCAGGAUGAAGCAUCUAUGGUGUGUAAACUGCUUUUGUACGGGAAGAAACACCGCUACGUGUAGCGGCUUGACGGUACCGUAAGAAUAAGGAUCGGCUAACUCCGUGCCAGCCGCCGCAGUAAGAC